ACGGAAGGCAGCAGUGAGGAAUAUUGGUCAAUGGACGGAAGUCUGAACCAGCCAAGUCGCGUGCGGGAUGAAGGCCCUACGGGUCGUAAACCGCUUUUGUACGGGGAUAAAGUCACCCACGUGUGGGUGUUUGUAGGUACCGUAAGAAUAAGGAUCGGCUAACUCCGUGCCAGCAGCCGCGGUAAUACGGAGGAUCCGAGCGUUAUCCGGAUUUAUUGGGUUUAAAGGGUGCGCAGGCGGCACGUUAAGUCAGCGGUGAAAUGCAGGGGCUCAACCCCGGCACUGCCGUUGAAACUGGCGAGCUCGAGUACGGAUGAAGUCGGCGGAAUGUGAUGUGUAGCGGUGAAAUGCUUAGAUAUGUCACAGAACACCGAUUGCGAAGGCAGCUGACUAAUCCGCAACUGACGCUCAGGCACGAAAGCGUGGGGAUCGAACAGGAUUAGAUACCCUGGUA
rnacentral:rRNA from 1 species